UACGUAGGGUGCGAGCGUUGUCCGGAAUUAUUGGGCGUAAAGGGCUCGUAGGCGGUUUGUCGCGUCGGGAGUGAAAUCCCGAGGCUCAACCUCGGGUCUGCAGUCGAUACGGGCAAACUGGAGUGUUGCAGGGGAGACUGGAAUUCCUGGUGUAGCGGUGAAAUGCGCAGAUAUCAGGAGGAACACCGGUGGCGAAGGCGGGUCUCUGGGCAACAACUGACGCUGAGGAGCGAAGGCGUGGGGAGCGAACAGG
rnacentral:rRNA from 1 species